rnacentral:lncRNA from 1 species
UCUACUUCUAUCCAAGGUAUACUUUUGAAUAUAGCUCAAAGUGUGUUCCCUAGCUAUGAUGCUUGGAAAAUAGCGCGGUUAACUAUUUUCCUGCAUUUUUGUUUGAUUCCUCAGGGCAGGCAAAAAUCCUCCGAUCCACUUCCAGCUGCUGCAACAAAAAUAAGAUCUGCAAUCAGCAGGAAAGGCAAGCACUCCAGCUAGGUGUGUCAUCAACUAAAUUUUACUCUAUUUUCCACGUUAAUAGCUAGGAUACAAACUAUCAGUUCCAUUUUAUUUGCAAAUAGAAGACAAUACAAACAGCGAUUGAUGAUACAAUACCUCUCUGUCCUCUGUUUUCUUUAGACAGAUGCGGUUUCAGUGAAGUAUGCUUCUGGACAGGAAUGUGGCCGGGUUUCAGCAGCCAUGCUACCAGGUCCCGUUAUUCUGCUUCUGAAGACUUAUAACUACUAUUCUGUAUCGAGUGCAUUUUAACCAAUUGACGAGAAUAUUGAAAUGAAACAUGUCCAUUUGAAAAUGACGUGUGAGCACUAGUGAUGUUGAAGACUGGAAGAUCAUCGCAGGAGCAGUUGAGCUGCUGCACAUGGAUGGUGUGCAUUCGCAGGGAGGUGUUUUCGGGUGGUCGGCAGGCCGCUCGCGCUCAAGACGGCGGCGAGCCCGAUCUGGUGGACGGCGACGAGCAGGAAUCGGGAGGGGACCGAGGCGGCAGGUGCAGCGACGCCGCGAGGUUAGAACCUAGGGUCGAUUGGACUCGAUGGAGUCAGUGACCCUGUUGCCCCUCUCUCGUUUGGGGUCGAACCGGUUCGAUCCGCUCGCUAAUUUCAGGAUUCGGAGCGAACUCGAAAAUGGCUCGACCCGCUCCCUUUGCAGGCCUACUAUCUUAAACAUAUUGAAAUGAAGCAUGUCC